AGCGAACGCUGGCGGCAGGCCUAACACAUGCAAGUCGAACGAACUCUUCGGAGUUAGUGGCGGACGGGUGAGUAACACGUGGGAGCGUGCCUUUAGGUUCGGAAUAACUCAGGGAAACUUGUGCUAAUACCGAAUGUGCCCUUCGGGGGAAAGAUUUAUCGCCUUUAGAGCGGCCCGCGUCUGAUUAGCUAGUUGGUGAGGUAACGGCUCACCAAGGCGACGAGAAGUAGCUGGUCUGAGAGGAUGACCAGCGAAACUGGGACUGAGCCACGGCCCAGACUCCUCCGGGAGGCGGCAGUGGGGAAUCUUGCGCAAUGGGCGAAAGCCUGACGCAGCCAUGCCGCGUGAAUGAUGAAGGUCUUAGGAUUGUAAAAUUCUUUCACCGGGGACGAUAAUGACGGUACCCGGAGAAGAAGCCCCGGCUAACUUCGUGCCAGCCGCCGCCGUAACAC
rnacentral:rRNA from 1 species